ensembl:lncRNA
CUGGACUCGGUGCAAGGCGCGAUCCGCUCCAGACAUGCAGUUCUCCUGGUGCACUAUGAGAGCUCACUGCCUCCGGCUUGGCCUGGCACCGCUGGUUCUGCUUUGCUGCCUGCCUCUGGCGCGCCCGGACCCCUGCGGCCUGAGCAUCGUGCCCAAGGACCCGGCGGUGGCGUUCGGGGGCCACGUGGUUCUGAACUGCAGCAGCUCAUGUUCCGGUCACACCCAGCUGGGCUGGGAGACGUCGGUGCUGAAGGUGCUGAAGACGGGACCCGGCUGGGCGUCCCUGAACAUCGCCAACCUCGCGGUGUGGGACCUGGAGCCCCAGUGCUACGUCUUCUCCACGGACAUCACCAAAAAAACCAGGCUCCACGUGUACCGUACGCCGAGGUUCCCCCCGCGCGCGCCCUCGCCCCUUCCCAGGGGCACGGCCCAGCGCUCCGCACGGGACAUGGGGCACGGGGAGGGGAAGGACUUUCCCAAGGACUAGAAGUCAGGGCAAAGAGUAAAACCCAGGAGUCCAGAUUCCCAGCACCCUGCUCCCACCACCCGCCCCUGGGAACGGAACCCAGGAGUCCUGGCUCUCAGCUCCCACCACAGUCCCCUCCCCCCCCAGGAACGGAACCCAGGAGUCCUGGCUCUCAGCUCCCCCCACCCGCCCCUCCCCGAGCUGGGAAUGGAACCCCGGGGUCCCGCCCCCCCCCCCCCCCCCCCCCCCCCCCCCCCCCAGGAAUGGAACCCAGGAGUCCUGGCUCCCAGGGCACCAAGCAGAGUCUUUAGAAGAAGGCAGAGCUCCUGGCCCGUUAUAUGCAGGGAGACGCUUCAGGAAGGUUCAUUCCCCUUUGUUUCCCCCUCUCCCCCCUGCCCCCCAGGAUUCUCGCCCCCCGAGAUCCACCUGGGAGCCGAGAUGGUGGCCGGUCACCAGGAGCAAAUCACCUGCAACGUCUCCAGCCUUGUGUCCGACUCCAGCCCCACCGACAUCAACGUCACCCUGAGCAGCGGGGGCAGCACACUGAACGAGAGCCGCGGCAGCCCGGCCGUGGAGUACAGCUUCGUGGCGCGGCCCACGCAGCACGGGCAGGAGAUCGUGUGCCAGGCCUGGCUCCGGGUCGGCCACCAGGUGCUGAGUGAGAGUGCCAGGGCCGCCCUGCACGUCUGGGCCCUGCCCCACAGCGUGAAUGUCUCCGUGGAGCGGCCGGAGUUCGGGGUCGGCGCUAACUUCACGGUGCAGUGCAGCGCUGAGGGGAACCCCCCGCCCGAGCUGCGCUGGGAGCUGCCCUCCAAUGCCAGCGUGGAGCUGUCUGAGCACGGCCGGACGGUGACUGUGCCCUCGGCCCAGCUCGCCCACAAUGGGACCUACCGGUGCCUGGCACGGAACAAAUACGGGGCCAGCUCGGGGCACGUCGAUGUCCUCGUCAAAGGUCCCCCCAGGUCCUGGAUCGCGGUGGCCGCAGUGGUGCUGGGGGUGAUUGUGGUUCUCGGCGGCGCAGGCCUGGUAACGUGGCGGCUCGUGAGAAAACGCUUCAUGACGUCUUAGCUGCGGCCCGCGGCGGCCGCGGUCCAGGGCUUCCGCCCGCCUGCUUGCAACGGGGAGGGCGACUCAGGGAAGGGGGAAGCUCUGGGCAGUGAUGGGCCUGAACCUUUGGGUGAGGACAAGGAGGAGCCAAGAGGUGUCUGAGCCCGAGCCAUCGCCCCGGGGGACUGGUUCCAGAGGCGGGUGGGGUCACGGCUUGUUGCCAGAUGUGCCACGGCUGGUGGGCUGGGACCGAGCCAUGGAGCCAAACCGGGCUGCAGCUCUCUGGGGUAUCAAGCCCUGGUGCCUGUGUGUGUGUGUGCGUGCAUUUGUGCACGUGUGCAUGUGUGUGUGUGCAUGUGCAUGUGUGUAUGUGUGCGCGUGUACGUGUGUGUGUGUGCAUGCACAUGUGUGUGUGCGUUUGUGCACAUGUGCAUGUGUGUGCGUGCACGUGUGUGUGUGCGUGCAUUUGUGCAUGUGUGUGUGCGCGUGUGCACAUGUGUGCGUGUGCAUGUCUGGCACAACAGGGAGUGUGCAUAUUUCACCCAUUCCAAAAAGCUGAUUUUUUGAAAUUUGAAAUUGUUUCCUUUCGAACCAUGUGGAAGAAACACUUGGACAUUUCAGCUCUUUUCGGCUUUCCCCAGUUCCAGCCUUGUCCCUGUGCCCUGGCACUGUUACAUUUACAGGGAGUCCAGUCCAGACGCCCAGGUAACACCAUGCUCCCCCCGCCCCCAAUGGCUCACGUUGGUGCCGCUUGGUUUUGUUGGUCUCAAAUAAACUGUCUGCCUGGG